rnacentral:rRNA from 1 species
AGAGUUUGAUCCUGGCUCAGGAUGAACGCUGGCGGCGUGCUUAACACAUGCAAGUCGAACGAAGAUGCCGGAGUGCUUGCACUUUGGCAGACUGAGUGGCGGACGGGUGAGUAACGCGUGAGGAACCUGCCUCAAAGAGGGGGACAACAGUUGGAAACGACUGCUAAUACCGCAUAAGCCCACGGGUCGGCAUCGAUCUGAGGGAAAAGGAGCAAUCCGCUUUGAGAUGGCCUCGCGUCCGAUUAGCUAGUUGGUGAGGUAACGGCCCACCAAGGCGACGAUCGGUAGCCGGACUGAGAGGUUGAACGGCCACAUUGGGACUGAGACACGGCCCAGACUCCUACGGGAGGCAGCA